rnacentral:rRNA from 1 species
UGUGAAUUGCAGAAUUCAGUGAAUCAUCGAAUCUUUGAACGCACCUUGCGCCCCUUGGUAUUCCGAGGGGCACGCCUGUUUGAGUGUCGUGAAAUUCUCAACCCUUUC